rnacentral:rRNA from 1 species
UACGUAGGGGGCUAGCGUUGUCCGGAAUCAUUGGGCGUAAAGCGCGCGUAGGCGGCCCGGUAAGUCCGCUGUAAAAGUCAAAGGCUCAACCUUUGAAUGUCAGUGGAUACUGCCGGGCUAGAGUCCGGAAGAGGCGAGUGGAACUCCUGGUGUAGCGGUGGAAUGCGCAGAUAUCAGGAAGAACACCGACGGCGAAGGCAGCUCGCUGGGCCGGUACUGACGCUGAGGCGCGAAAGCGUGGGGAGCGAACAGG